GAUGAACGCUGGCGGCGUGCCUAAUACAUGCAAGUCGAGCGAACAGAUAAGGAGCUUGCUCCUUUGAAGUUAGCGGCGGACGGGUGAGUAACACGUGGGUAACCUACCUAUAAGACUGGGAUAACUUCGGGAAACCGGAGCUAAUACCGGAUAACAUUUCGAACCGCAUGGUUCUAAAGUGAAAGAUGGUUUUGCUAUCACUUAUAGAUGGACCCGCGCCGUAUUAGCUAGUUGGUAAGGUAACGGCUUACCAAGGCGACGAUACGUAGCCGACCUGAGAGGGUGAUCGGCCACACUGGAACUGAGACACGGUCCAGACUCCUACGGGAGGCAGCAGUAGGGAAUCUUCCGCAAUGGGCGAAAGCCUGACGGAGCAACGCCGCGUGAGUGAUGAAGGGUUUCGGCUCGUAAAACUCUGUUAUUAGGGAAGAACAAAUGUGUAAGUAACUGUGCACAUCUUGACGGUACCUAAUCAGAAAGCCACGGCUAACUACGUG
rnacentral:rRNA from 1 species